UACGGGGAUGGCAAGCGUUACUCGGAUUUAUUGGGUGUAAAGGGCAGGUAGGUGUCUUCGCAAGUCAGGAGUGAAAUCCUAAGGCUCAACCUUAGAACUGCUUUUGAAACUGCGAGGAUUGAGGACAGAAGAGGAAAGCGGAAUUCCCGGUGUAAGGGUGAAAUCUGUAGAGAUCGGGAGGAACACCAGUGGCGAAAGCGGCUUUCUGGUCUGUCCCUGACACUGAACUGCGAAAGCUAGGGGAGCAAACAGG
rnacentral:rRNA from 1 species